rnacentral:RNase_P_RNA from 1 species
AAUGUAGAUCGUUCUGUCGCUCAGCCAAAAAGCUGAGAGGAAAGUCCGGGCAGUACAGGGCAUCAUCCUUCCUAACGGGAAGAUAUCCGAAAGGGUAUGGUUAAUGUAACAGAAAACAACCGCCCCUGCGCUUGUCGCCGGGGUAAGGGUGAAAAGGCGGGGUAAGAGCCCACCGGUCCGGGUGGUGACAUCCGGAGCCGUACAACCGGCGAGUUGCAAGACCAUGUAUACCGGCGCCCGAGGGCUGCUCGCCCGAGCCGGGGGGUAGGUCGCUUGAGGUUGCGGGCAACCGUAAUCCCAGAUAAAUGACAGAAGUCCGCUUAGGCGGAUACAGAAUCCGGCUUACAGGCCUGCUAUUUUU